AUUGAACGCUGGCGGCAUGCCUUACACAUGCAAGUCGAACGGCAGCACGGGAGCAAUCCUGGUGGCGAGUGGCGAACGGGUGAGUAAUAUAUCGGAACGUGCCCGGUCGUGGGGAUAACGUAGCGAAAGCUACGCUAAUACCGCAUACGAUCUACGGAUGAAAGCGGGGGAUCGCAAGACCUCGCGCGAUUGGAGCGGCCGAUAUCAGAUUAGGUAGUUGGUGAGGUAAAGGCUCACCAAGCCGACGAUCUGUAGCUGGUCUGAGAGGACGACCAGCCACACUGGGACUGAGACACGGCCCAGACUCCUACGGGAGGCAGCAGUGGGGAAUUUUGGACAAUGGGCGGCAAGCCUGAUCCAGCAAAUGCCGCGUGCAGGAUGAAGGCC
rnacentral:rRNA from 1 species